rnacentral:rRNA from 1 species
UACAGGAGGGGCAAGCGUUAUUCGGAAUUAUUGGGCGUAAAGGGCGCGUAGGCGGCCUUGCAAGUGACGGGUGAAACCCCUCGGCUUAACCGAGGAACUGCCUGUCAGACUGUUUGGCUUGAGACCGGGAGAGGUGAGUGGAAUUCCCAGUGUAGCGGUGAAAUGCGUAGAUAUCUGGAGGAACACCGGUGGCGAAGGCGGCGUCCUGGACCAACACUGACACUGAGGAGCGAAAGCCAGGGGAGCAAACGGG